rnacentral:rRNA from 1 species
AUUGAACGCUGGCGGCAUGCUUUACACAUGCAAGUCGAACGGUAACAGGCCUUCGGGUGCUGACGAGUGGCGAACGGGUGAGUAAUGCAUCGGAACGUACCCAGAGGUGGGGGAUAACGCAGCGAAAGCUGUGCUAAUACCGCAUGUGAUCUGAGGAUGAAAGCGGGGGACCGAGCAGCAAUGUUUGGCCUCGCGCCUUUGGAGCGGCCGAUGUCGGAUUAGCUAGUUGGUGGGGUAAAGGCCUACCAAGGCGACGAUCCGUAGCUGGUCUGAGAGGACGACCAGCCACACUGGGACUGAGACACGGCCCAGACUCCUACGGGAGGCAGCAGUGGGGAAUUUUGGACAAUGGGCGCAAGCCUGAUCCAGCAAUGCCGCGUGCGGGAAGAAGGCCUUCGGGUUGUAAACCGAUUUUGGCAGGAACGAAACGGUGUCCGCUAAUACCGGGCGCUAAUGACGGUACCUGCAGAAUAAGCACCGGCUAACUACGUG